CACCCCGGCCAGCAAUGCGGCCAGCUGCAGCAGGGACUGCAUGGGGACGUCCCCACGGCCCAUUGGGGUCCUCCUUGUCCUAUUGGGGUCCUCCAUGUCCCAUUGGGGUCCUCCAUGUCCUAUUGGGGUCUCCAUGUCCCAUUGGGGUCUCCACGUCCCAUUGGGGUCCUCCAUGUCCCAUUGGGGUCCUCCAUGUCCUAUUGGGGUCUCCAUGUCCCAUUGGGCCCCCAUUGGGGUCCUCCAUGUCCCAUUGGGGUCUCCAUGUCCCAUUGGGGUCCUCCAUGUCCCAUUGGGGUCUCCACGUUCCAUUGGGGUCCUCCAUGUCCCAUUGGGGUCCUCCAUGUCCCAUUGGGUCCCCAUGGUGUCCCAGUGUCCCAUUGGGUUCCCCAUGUCCUAUUGGGGUCCUUCAUGUCUCAUUGGGUUCCCAUGGUGUCCCCAUGUCCUGUUGGGGUCUCCACGUCCCAUUGGGGUCUCCACGUCCCAUUGGGGUCCUCUACGUCCCAUUGGUUCCCCAUUGGAGUCCUCCAUAUCCCCAUACGUCCCAUUGGUCCCCAUUGAUGUCUCCACGUCUCCAAUCACUCUUUUAUUGAACACCACCUACAAAAAGCCCCCCAAAACCCCCCAAAACCCCCCAUAACCCCCCCAAACCCCCCCCAAACCCCACGAGGACCCCCCCCCGCCCCCCCCAGCUCACUCCCACUGAGCGAUGGCGGCCAUCAUGGCCACCCCGGCCAGCAAUGCGGCCAGCUGCAGCAGGGACUGCAUGGGGAUGUCCCCAUGGCCCAUUGGGGUCCUCCAUGUCCUAUUGGGGUCCUCCAUGUCCCAUUGGGGUCCUCCAUGUCCCAUUGGGGUCUCCAUGUCCCAUUGGGGUCCUCCAUGUCCCAUUGGGGUCCUCCACGUCCCAUUGGGGUCUUUAUGUCCCAUUAGGGUCCUCCAUGUCCCAUUGGGGUCCUCUAUGUUCUAUUGGGGUCUCCAUGUCCCAUUGGGGUCCUCCAUGUUCUAUUGGGGUCCUCCACGUCCCAUUGGGUCCCCAUUGGAGUCCUCCAUAUCCCCACACGUCCCAUUGGGCCCCAUUGAUGUCUCCACGUCUCCAAUCACUCUUUUAUUGAACACCACCUACAAAAAGCCCCCCAUAACCCCCCCAAAACCCCCCAUAACCCCAUUAAACCUCCCCAUAUCCCACCCCAAAGACCCCCCCCGCCCCCCCCAGCUCACUCCCACUGAGCGAUGGCGGCCAUCAUGCCACCCCGGCCAGCAUGCGGCCAGCUGCAGCAGGGACUGCAUGGGGACGUCCCACGGCCCAUUGGGGUCCUCCAUGUCCUAUUGGGGUCUCCAUGUCCCAUUGGGUCCCCAUUGGGGUCCUCUAUGUCACAUUGGGGUCUCCAUGUCCCAUUGGGGUCCUCUAUGUUCUAUUGGGGUCCUCCACGUCCCAUUGGGGUCCCAUGGUGUCCCCAUGUCCCAUUGGGUGCCCCACGGCCCAUUGGGGUCCUCCAUGUCCCAUUGGGGCCCUCCAUGUCCCAUUGGGUCCCCAUGGUGUCCCAGUGUCCCAUUGGGUUCCCCAUGGCCCCAUUGGGUCCCCAUUGGAGUCCUCCAUGUCCCCAUACGUCCCAUUGGUCCCCAUUGAUGUCUCCACGUCUCCAAUCACUCUUUUAUUGAACACCACCUACAAAAAGCCCCCCAUAACCCCCCUGAAACCCCCCAAAACCCCCCAUACCCCCCCCAAACCCUAUUAGGACCCCCCCCAACCCCCCCAGCUCACUCCCACUGAGCGAUGGCGGCCAUCAUGGCCACCCCGGCCAGCAAUGCGGCCAGCUGCAGCAGGGACUGCAUGGGGACGUCCUCUCGGAGCAGUUGGGGGAGCACCGCCACCGUCCCCACGUAGAUGAACCCCCCCGCGGUGAAGGGGAGGAUCCAAAGGGUGGCGGCCGCCCCCACCCCUUCGGCCAAUAGGGAACAGCCCGCGCCCCCCACGGCCCCCAGAGCCGUCAGCAGCUGCAGCCGCAUCGCCUGUUGGAUUGGGGGGGGGGGAGGGUAAUUAAAAGGGGGGGGUAAUUAAGUGGGGAGGGGGGUAAUUAAGCGGCGGUGGGGUAAUUAAGCAGGGGUAGGGAGGGAGAGGGGGUAGGGAGGGUAAGAAGGAGGGGAGGAUGGGGAGAAGGGGCAAUAUGGAGGACCCCGACCCAACCAUGUGUCCCCUGACCUUUGACCCUGAGCCAACCCUGUGACCCCUGACCCUUGAGCCUGACCCAACCACGUGACCUUUGACCCUUGACCCCGAUCAUGUUACCCUUAACCCCAACCCGACCACGUGACUCCUGACCCUUGACCCAACCCAAGCACAUGACCUCUGACCCCCUAACCCGUGACCUUUGACCCCUAACUCCAACCCAACCCUGUGACCCCUGACCCUAACCACAUGACCUUAGACCCUUUACCCCAACCACGUGACCCUUAACCCCAGCCCAACCCUGUGACCCCUGACCCUUGACCCAACCAUGUGACCUUUGACCCUUGACUCCAACCACGUAACUCCUGACCCUUGACCCCAACCCAACCCCAUAACUCCAACCCAACCACAUAACCCUUGACCCCAAAGAUGACCCUUGACCCCAACUCCAUAACCCUUGACCCCAAAGAUGGCCCUUAACCCCAACCCAACCUCACGAACCCUGACCCUUGACCCCAACACAACCCCAUGACCCCCGACUCUUGAUUGCAACCCAACUCCAUGCCUCUAUGUCCCCGUUGCCUUUGCUUCUAACAUGUACCAGCU
rnacentral:lncRNA from 7 species